rfam:Candidatus Desantisbacteria bacterium CG1_02_38_46 cg1_0.2_scaffold_8429_c, whole genome shotgun sequence.
GCGAGGGUGGCGGAAUGGAAUACGCGUACGGCUUAGGACCGUAUGCCGAAAGGCUUGGGGGUUCAAAUCCCUUCCCUCGCA